CUGACCCAGCUCAUCUGUGCACCACCUUCAGAGAAAGUGAAAGGAAGGGGUGCUUGGUGAAAGGUUUAUUUAGAUAACUCUGGAAAGCAGGAACAAGAUCAUUUGUGGACCCAACUUGGGCUCUUCACAGUGGGGAGGGCUCCUUUGCAAAGCAGACGUCCUUAGACAGAGACUGGGCUUGGAGGAGGUGACCUUCAAGGGAUCUUACUCUGAUCACAUGAGGGAAUAAUUCCAUUUGAAGUCAGCAGCUGAAGUCCUCCAGGAGUAAUGAAACCUUCUGUUUGUGCUCUCAUUUGCACAGUCAGAGGAGACAGUUUUUGAUUAUUAAGAAAACAGGAAGCUUUAUUUUUACUCUUAUGAGCAUAGUCGGGCAGGUGUGCAAAUUGAAGGUGGUCCUUAUCACUCCCUAAGGCAAUCGGAAGUAUUCUUGGGCAGAAAUGGUAUUCAGAGAUGACCCUGCCACCCCCUUUAAGUUUUGCACAGAGAACUUAAAAUAUGUGUGAAAGGACACAAAAUUAGAAAUUGACCAGUGGGUAUAUGGUUGUAAAAGCCCAGGCUCCUCUGAGGCCUAGCAAUGUUUAAAAGAAACUCAAAGUAUAAAAUACAAGCCUGUUGUUGCAGCAUUUGCAAGGAGGCAGCCUCAGCAGAGUUGACCCAACUCUUUAGACGAUGAGGAGCUACACGCAUCCAAAGCUUGGUUCAUGGUCAGUCACUUAACCUCUCUGAACCUUGGGCCCUUGUCUGCCCGACAGUGAUUGCAAUACUCACCUCACAAUGUCAUCAAAAGGAAUAAAGGAGGUCAAGUACAUAUGCAAAUAUAAAGUACAGAUAGAGUAAUGGGGCAAGUCUCAGUGUGUCUGGGUGUAAUUCGUUUUUUCUUAAUGAAUACUACAGUUACCACAUGACAGGGAUUGUUGUAGGGGAAUACUUCUGGUUUGUCUAACCCAGGGUUCGCUGGGAAAGAGGGUUGAGACCAGAACUUAAUUGGAGGGACAGGGGACAGCCAAGAGAGCCUUGUCCUCUGUCAGGUUAUGGUGGCUCAUGUGGCAGAUGGUGACAUGGUGUCUUCAGCUGGGGGCUCCAAAGUAACGGGGGAAAGAUAAUUCUUUUGAAGACCUGGUGUUUGCAGGAUGCUUCACACAUGUUACUGCAUUUAAUCUUUACGCCCCGUGAGUGGGGCUGGCAUUACCAUUGUUCUCAAGCUGGGAUUCAAAGCAGACUAGAUUUGUAGAGAAAUCAGAUUUUUAGAAAUUAGAUUUCUAGUCUCAGAAUUCGUGUCUGCUGCGUCCAUACUCCUUGCCAAGCUGGGCUAGCCUUCUGGGCCGGGAAUAUAAAUGUGUUCUUAGGAUGCAAAAGGUCAGGGCCUCAAGAUUUGUUACUUUUAAAUUCUUCCCCUGUCUGUCCGAGGGGAACCCACCAUGAGGAGCUGUGCCCUUGCCGGAGCUGCUGUUUAGAGCAGUGUUUGGAGCAUGUAUCGUGUGCUAGCCAUUGUUUUAAAUGAUGGGAAACAGCAGUAAACUAGAGGAGCAGAGAUCCUUGUGGUCAUGGAGUCAGACAAUAAACAAGAUAUUGCAAUAUGUUAUAAAGGUCUGGUAAUCAAAACCAGAAUAAUGAUGAUGCCACAAUAGACCAAUGGAUUGAAACAGAAGACCCCAAAGCAUGUCAUCUCGCAAGAGGACACUCAGGCAGCUCUAGAGGGUCCCCUGUGACAAGGAACUGAGACCCACAGCCAGCGAGAGCCCAGGCCUGCCAACGAACAGAGCACAGGCUCCAGACACGCAGGCUCAGCGGCCAUGGCUCACGGGCCCAGCCACUCCGCAGCAUGUGGGAUCUUCCCGGACCGGGGCACGAACCUGUGUCCCCUGCAUCGGCAGACGGACUCUCAACCACUGUGCCACCAGGGAAGCCCA